rnacentral:rRNA from 1 species
UACGUAGGGGACAAGCGUUGUCCGGAUUUACUGGGCGUAAAGAGCGCGCAGGCGGUCGUUCAAGUCGAGUGUGAAAGCCCCCGGCUCAACUGGGGAGGGUCACUCGAUACUGAUCGACUCGAAGGCAGGAGAGGGAAGUGGAAUUCCCGGUGUAGUGGUGAAAUGCGUAGAUAUCGGGAGGAACACCAGUGGCGAAGGCGACUUCCUGGCCUGUUCUUGACGCUGAGGCGCGAAAGCUAGGGUAGCAAACGGG